rnacentral:rRNA from 1 species
UAAGACGAACCGUGCGAACGUUAUUCGGAAUCACUGGGCUUAAAGGGCGCGUAGGCGGGCCACCAAGUCAGGGGUGAAAUCUUUCGGCUCAACCGGAAAAGUGCCUUUGAUACUGGUGGCCUCGAGGGAGGUAGGGGUCUGCGGAACUUCCGGUGGAGCGGUGAAAUGCGUAGAUAUCGGAAGGAACGCCGGUGGCGAAAGCGGCGGACUGGACCUCUUCUGACGCUGAGGCGCGAAAGCCAGGGGAGCAAACGGGAUUAGAUACCCCGGUAGUCCUGGCCCUAAACGUUGGGUACUAGGUAGUGGGCUUACAUGGGCUCACUGCCGAAGCAAAAGUGUUAAGUACCCCGCCUGGGGAGUAUGGUCGCAAGGCUG